UAAUUCAGUCAGUUGCAAUUGCACAGUCCAUUUUCAGUGCACCCAAGGGUGAUGGUCCAAUUGCUGUAAAUCUUGGGUCCAUGGGAAAAGGUGAAGCUUGGGUUAAUGGCCAAAGUAUCGGCAGAUAUUGGGUCUCAUUUCACACAUCUGCAGGUACAAUGUUCCAAGGUCAUUUCUCAAACCUAGAAAUAACCUAGUAGUUGUAUUUGAGGAAGAAAUGGGCAACCCUCUUAACAUCACUCUCGACGCAAUUUCAGUCACAAAGGCCUGUUCAGGGAAGGGGAAAUGCACUAUUGCUCAGUCAUAUAAGAAAUUCGGCAGUGAUCCGUGUCCUGGAGUUCAUAAGUCUCUGCUAGUUGAUGUUCAGUGUGAAUGAAUACACAACUUAUCAUCUCAUUUUUUUGCUCAUUAUAAAUGGAAGAUGUACAGAAUUAUAGGGAUGUAUAGGUGCAUUCAUUUAAUAAAUGUACAUCCAUAUAAUUAUAAGUUGAAUUUGUAUAGACGAAAUGUGACAAAUAUGUUAGAAAUUAGAAUAUCUCAGCUUAUCACAUAGGCUCUUGGAAGUUCAAUUCUUCAACAACCAAAGAAAUAAAAUGCUAUGUAGUUCCAAGAUUAAUGUUGUUUUUAUCGUAUAUAAACUUUUGUUCAU